rnacentral:rRNA from 1 species
CCAGACUCCUACGGGAGGCAGCAGUGAGGAAUAUUGGUCAAUGGACGCAAGUCUGAACCAGCCAUGCCGCGUGCAGGAAGACGGCUCUAUGAGUUGUAAACUGCUUUUGUACGAGGGUAAAUCCCGAUACGUGUAUCGGGUUGAAAGUAUCGUACGAAUAAGGAUCGGCUAACUCCGUGCCAGCAGCCGCGGUAAUACGGAGGAUUCAAGCGUUAUCCGGAUUUAUUGGGUUUAAAGGGUGCGUAGGCGGUUCGAUAAGUUAGAGGUGAAAUCCCGGGGCUCAACUCCGGCACUGCCUCUGAUACUGUCGGGCUAGAGUUUAGUUGCGGUAGGCGGAAUGUAUGGUGUAGCGGUGAAAUGCAUAGAGAUCAUACAGAACACCGAUUGCGAAGGCAGCAUACCGGCGCCCGACUGACGCUGAAGCACGAAAGCGUGGGUAUCGAACAGGAUUAGAUACCCUGGUAA